UACGUAGGGCGCAAGCGUUGUCCGGAAUUAUUGGGCGUAAAGAGCUCGUAGGCGGCUUGUCACGUCGGGUGUGAAAGCCCGGGGCUCAACCCCGGGAGGCGGACGGAUACUGUCGGGCUCGAGUCCGGAAGAGGCAAGUGGAAUUCCUGGUGUAGCGGUGAAAUGCGCAGAUAUCAGGAAGAACACCCGUGGCUAAGGCGGCUCUCUAGUACGGUACUGACGCUGAGACGCGAAAGCGUGGGGAGCGAACGGG
rnacentral:rRNA from 1 species